GACGAACGCUGGCGGUGUGCUUAACACAUGCAAGUCGAACGGAAAGGCCCUGCUUUUGUGGGGUGCUCGAGUGGCGAACGGGUGAGUAACACGUGAGUAACCUGCCCUUGACUUUGGGAUAACUUCAGGAAACUGGGGCUAAUACCGGAUAGGAGCUCCUGCUGCAUGGUGGGGGUUGGAAAGUUUCGGCGGUUGGGGAUGGACUCGCGGCUUAUCAGCUUGUUGGUGGGGUAGUGGCUUACCAAGGCUUUGACGGGUAGCCGGCCUGAGAGGGUGACCGGCCACAUUGGGACUGAGAUACGGCCCAGACUCCUACGGGAGGCAGCAGUGGGGAAUAUUGCACAAUGGGCGGAAGCCUGAUGCAGCAACGCCGCGUGCGGGAUGACGGCCUUCGGGUUGUAAACCGCUUUCGCCCGUGACGAAGCGUGAGUGACGGUAAUGGGUAAAGAAGCACCGGCUAACUACGUG
rnacentral:rRNA from 1 species